ensembl:lncRNA
UAUAAAUAAAAAAUAUUUUUAUGGCUGUACAACGUGUUUGUGUUUUAAGCUUUAUUACAAGAGUCCAAAAGUUUAAAGAUUUUUUUAAUGCUUAUAAAGUAAAAAGUUACAGUAAACGAAGGUUAGUUAAUGAUUAAAGAAAAAAUAUUUUGCUAUAAACUUGGUGUUGCCUAAACAUACAGUGUUUAUAAAGUUUACAGUAGUAUAUAGUAAUGCCAUCAGCCUUCACAUUCACUCACCACUCACUCACUGCCUCACCCAGAGCAACUUUAGGUUCUGUGAUCUCCACUCACGGUGUGCCUCUGCCAAUCAACUAAAGGCCUUAAGAACAAAAACUGGGAUUCCCCAGGGAAGAAGAAAUUCUGCCUCAAAAUUUAACAUAGAAAUCCUGCCUGCAUUCCAGUCUGCUGGCCUGCCCUACAGAUUUCGGACUUCUUAUCCCCAGCAGUCAUACCACAGAAUAAGUCAAGAACUCCAGCGGGCUUGGAACUGCACCUGUCUUCUGAAAUGCUCCCUUCUCUGCAUCAUGGGGCCUCUGUGAAAACAGGCUCUUAGCCAGCAGAAAAUCAAUACCACACACUGGAGGGGAAGAUGGAGAGUUAAAACGUCCUCUUCACACGGGUGAGUAAACACCACCUCCGUGCUCGGGAUGGCGCAGCACAGAACUCCAGGCUGUAAGUCAAGCUCCAAAUAAAACCCUUCCCGAGCACAGAGCACUCAGCCCCAAAGCUGGCAUAGCAGAGCCCUUCGCCUCAUAUAAUUUCACUUUUGUGCAACUGCAGAUCUGUGUGCGCCUGCAAAAUUGCAUAAUUCACCAUUUACCCAGCGAUUAUUCCAGCAAACCUAUUGUUUGCACACCGAUUUGCCUGCCUGACUAAUAAAUCCACAGGAAGGGAGGGGAGAGAGAAGGAAAGUUCUCAGCAUCACACUGUGUUCUCAGUGUCUCCUUCAUCUCAAGCUGCCUGCCCCUCCCACAUUUAGAGAAAAUCACAAGUCUCAGAGUUUCAAUGAAUAGAAGCUUUGCGUGGGUCCUCCUCUCCCCAGUCUUCACCACUUUCUGAAAAAGAUGCAUGUAUUUCACAUCUGUUGUGUCUUAACCUGGUUAUGUCUCCCUCUCCUCAGGUCUGAAACAAAGCUUCCUUUCCUCUUGGCUUCUCCCUUGUUGCUCUUACAUUUUUCCUGAGAUGUCCUGGUAUUUCUGGUUUCUCCACACAUUGAGUCAGAUCUGAGUAUGGGUUACAGAAAGUGUCUACUGUCAUUCUGUCAUUACCAAAUACUAAAGGUAGGCAGACUCUGCCUACCUUUAGUAUUUGGAAAAGACAGCUUUUCACAGCCCACAUCCUCAGGCUAGUAUUGUUCCGCUACAAUGAUUAUAAAAGAUAAGACAUUGUUCAAAUGUUCUGAUGCUGGGAACCAUCUAAAAGCAGAGCUUUGAAAAUACAAAACAUUGCUAGUUCCUAGGGACAAAAUUUACAUCUUUUUUGUGUGUGUCACCACAAAGCUCUUCAACACCCCUGUAGAAGGGAGCCCUAAUUACUUGUGACACUCCAGAGGAGCUGUGAGAAGCACAGAAGCAAGCUGGUGCAUGAUGAUGAGGAACUGGGACACGGUGGCCUGAGUGAGUCAGAAGUCAAGAGAAGCUGCUGCGGCCCUUCGUCACAAAAACUCCCCAGCUCUGCUCACAGGGAGCCAGUUCCUUUUACCUACUGAUUUUUUCCUUGUUAAUUACAUCACAAUGUACAAUAAUUUCUGAACUAUUAAUCUUCCUGAUAUCGAACUAUGUAUGUGCUUUUUGGGUUAUAGUACAUAAAGGGAAAUGUCUUUUGUACGGGCUUAUACAAUAGACAUGUUUUAGGAAACAUGAGUGAGUUGCAUUUUAUAAAUCAAAUGAAAGCACUUGGAAGCGUCAUGAUUUGAAGACAUUUUACUGUAUACCUGCUUAUAAAAUACAUAAUGUUUCUGAUAAAUAUGGUUUUACUCAUGCGUUUUUUCAAGUAGGAAUGUGUUUUCUGAUUUAGAAAAUGGGCAUAGUAGUAUAUUUCCAAAUAGAAAAUUGUUAUAAUUUUCUUGAUAGAUCCGCCCAGUCUAUUGCAGUGCCUCACUAAGGCCAGAUUUUGCAUAAUCUACAGUUAAAUUCUGGAAUACCCUCAGGCAUAACUUCUGUAUCCCACACAAGACCUUAGAAAAAUCUAUUUGUGAAAAGGCAGCAAGCCUGCGUCAGAUUAGAGCAAACAUUACACAGCCAUCCUAGCAAGACUGUCGCUUCUUGUCCAGAACUGCACCAUUUCUUAAGGCAAAAUAUCAAUAUGAGGUGAUAUUGAUACCUGAGAUACCUGAUAGUCUUUUUAUCCUGAUCACUUGGUCACUUAGCAACCUUUCUCUCUCUCCCCCCUCCACCCCCCGUCCUUUCUCUCUCUCAUAUAUAUAUAUAUAUAUAUUUCACUUUAAUAAUGAGUUUCUACAUUUAGGGCUUCCUAUAAAAUGAAACAAGUUUACUUUUGAAAUGGAAAUUUUUUCUUACUGAAAAUAUAUAUUUAGGUACAGUCUGGAUGACAACUAAUUAGGUAUGUUGGAAGCACCUUAGAGAUUGAAGUUUGUACUAAUGUGCCUGUAAGAGGAUUAUUGUGUGUGUGUGUGUGCGUGCACACACACACACACACACACAGUGUUUUAAUUAGCUACAAUACUCUUAACAAAAAAUUUCCAUUUG